rnacentral:rRNA from 1 species
AGAGUUUGAUCCUGGCUCAGAUUGAACGCUGGCGGCGUGCUUUACACAUGCAAGUCGAACGGCAGCACGGACUUCGGUCUGGUGGCGAGUGGCGAACGGGUGAGUAAUACAUCGGAACGUACCUUUUAGUUGGGGAUAACGCAUCGAAAGAUGUGCUAAUACCGAAUAAUCUCUGAGGAGGAAAGGCGGGGAUCGGAAACGACCUGUCGCUGAAAGAGCGGCCGAUGGCCGAUCAGCUAGUUGGCGGGGUAAAAGCCCACCAAGGCUAUGAUCGGUAGCUGUUCUGAGAGGAAGAUCAGCCACACUGGGACUGAGACACGGCCCAGACUCCUACGGGAGGCAGCAGUGGGGAAUUUUGGACAAUGGGGGAAACCCUGAUCCAGCAACGCCGCGUGAAUGAAGAAGGCCUUAGGGUUGUAAAGUUCUUUUGUCGCAGAGCAAAAUGCUUGUACUAAUACUAUGAGUAGAUGAGAGUAUGCGAAGAAUAAGCACCGGCUAACUACGUGCCAGCAGCCGCGGUAAUACGUAGGGUGCAAGCGUUAAUCGGAAUUACUGGGCGUAAAGCGUGCGCAGGCGGAUAUAUAAGUUAGAAGUGAAAUCCCCGGGCUCAACCUGGGAACUGCUUUUAAGACUGUAUAUCUAGAGUUUGUCAGA